GUGAGGAAUUUUCCGCAAUGGGCGAAAGCCUGACGGAGCAAUGCCGCGUGAAGGAUGAAGGCCUAUGGGUUGUAAACUUCUUUUCUCAGAAAAGAAUUAUGACGGUAUCUGAGGAAUAAGCAUCGGCUAACUCUGUGCCAGCAGCCGCGGUAAGACAGAGGAUGCAAACGUUAUCCGGAAUGAUUGGGCGUAAAGCGUCUGUAGGUUGUUUAAAAAGUAUUCUGUCAAAGAUUAGGGCUUAACCCUAGAUAGGCAGAAUAAACUUUUAAGCUAGAGUUUGGUAGAGGCAGAGGGAAUUCCCGGUGGAGCGGUGAAAUGCGUAGAUAUCGGGAGGAACACCAAAGGCGAAGGCACUCUGCUGGGCCAAUACUAACACUGAGAGACGAAAGCGAGGGGAGCAAAUGGGAUUAGAAACCCGUGUAGUCC
rnacentral:rRNA from 1 species